rnacentral:rRNA from 1 species
UACGGAGGAGGCAAGCGUUAUCCGGAAUUAUUGGGCGUAAAGCGUCCGCAGGUGGCACUUCAAGUCUGUCGUCAAAGACUGGGGCUUAACCCUGGAAAGGCGGUGGAAACUGAAGCGCUAGAGUGCGGUAGGGGUAGAGGGAAUUCCCGGUGUAGCGGUGAAAUGCGUAGAGAUUGGGAAGAACACCGGUGGCGAAAGCGCUCUGCUGGACUGCAACUGACACUGAGGGACGAAAGCUAGGGGAGCGAAUGGG